UGGGGAAUUUUGGACAAUGGACGAAAGUCUGAUCCAGCAACGCUGCGUGAAGGACGAAGGUUUUCGGAUUGUAAACUUCUUUUGCAGGGGAAGAAAAAAAUGACGGUACCCUGUGAAUAAGCCACGGCUAACUACGUGCCAGCAGCCGCGGUAAGACGUAGGUGGCGAGCGUUACUCGGAAUUACUAGGCGUAAAGCGUACGUAGGCGGAAGUUUAAGUCUGUUGUGUAAUCUCCAAGCUCAACUUGGAAACUGCAACAGAAACUGGGCUUCUUGAGUGAGGCAGAGGAAAACGGAAUUCCUGGUGUAGCAGUGAAAUGCGUAGAUAUCAGGAGGAACACCGGUGGCGAAGGCGGUUUUCUGGGCCUUUACUGACGCUAAAGUACGAAAGCUAGGGGAGCAAACG
rnacentral:rRNA from 1 species